rnacentral:rRNA from 1 species
GACGAACGCUGGCGGCGUGCUUAACACAUGCAAGUCGAACGGAAAGGCCCUGCUUGCAGGGUACUCGAGUGGCGAACGGGUGAGUAACACGUGGGUGAUCUGCCCUGCACUUCGGGAUAAGCCUGGGAAACUGGGUCUAAUACCGGAUAGGAGCCAUUUUUAGUGUGAUGGUUGGAAAGUUUUUUCGGUGUAGGAUGAGCUCGCGGCCUAUCAGCUUGUUGGUGGGGUAAUGGCCUACCAAGGCGGCGACGGGUAGCCGGCCUGAGAGGGUGGACGGCCACCUUGGGACUGAGAUACGGCCCAGACUCCUACGGGAGGCAGCAGUGGGGAAUAUUGCACAAGGGGCGCAAGCCUGAUGCAGCGACGCCGCGUGGGGGAUGACGGCCUUCGGGUUGUAAACUCCUUUCGCUAGGGACGAAGCUUUUUGUGACGGUACCUAGAUAAGAAGCACCGGCUAACUACGUG